UCUGCGCAUUGUUAGAGCUUGGAGUUGAGGCUACCGACUGGCUGAUGAACUCGCAAGUGUAGGUAGCGUGCCUGAUGAGAGGCAAGUUUUUCGCUAACACCGUAGGGUUCUCUGGCCCGAUGAGUGGAGUUUGAUAGUAAUUCUUGCUACAGUA
rnacentral:snoRNA from 1 species